GGUGCGCGCGGUGCCCCGCGCAUUGCAGCCUCGUGCGGGGGCUCGGCUUCGCUCCCUGCAGGCCGCUGCCCGGCGGUGCUCAGGCCGCCCGUCCCGUCCCGCGGACGGCCCGACGCGGCGACAGGGCGACAGGGUGACUGGGCGGCAGGGUGACAGGGUGACGGCCCGACACCGCCAAUCAGCGCGCCCGCGGUACGCGCAGCCCGGCUCCGAUUGGCCGGCGCGCCAGCGUGUUAUUACUGUCGGUUUGAUCCGAGGCAGGGGGUGGUCUCCAAUCAAACAGAGAAAAGGUCCUGGAGAAGGAGCAUCCUUCAAGCCGGACCUGAGCUACUGA
rnacentral:lncRNA from 1 species